UUUCCGUAGGUGAACCUGCGGAAGGAUCAUUGUCGUAACCUUCUGGCAGAAUGACUUGUUAACUUGUACCAAUACAAGAUUCUAGUGUUGGGGCCAUCUUUUUUAUUUGGCCACAAUGAACAAAAACACAGGCGCAGAAGCGCCAAGGAAUUUUGUAAUGAGAAUGCUGCCUCGCAUAGCUCAUUUCUACUUGCUUGUGAGGUUGGCAUCUUUUUUUAAAAAAAAUGACUCUCGGCAAUGGAUAUCUCGGCUCUUGCAUCGAUGAAGAACGUAGCGAAAUGUGAUACUUGGUGUGAAUUGCAGAAUCCCGUGAACCAUCGAAACUUUGAACGCAAGUUGCGCCUCAAGCCAUUAGGUUGAGGGCACGUUUGCUUGGGUGUCAUGCAUUAUGUCUUCCCUCUCGUGUGUUGGAUUGGGAGUAGAUCAUGGCCUCCUGGGCCCAUCCUCUUGGGUGUGGUUGGCCGAAAAUAUUGUCCUUGAUUUUGUUGAUGUCUUGGCCUGCGGUGGAUGUACCAUUUGUGCAUAAUGGCCAGACUUGCUCGACUUCAUUGUGGCGUGUAGAUCCUAUGAAGCUGUCGGCGUUGGCUCUUUGAUUGCGACCCCAAGUCAGGCGAGACCACCCGCU
rnacentral:rRNA from 1 species